rnacentral:rRNA from 1 species
UACGGAGGGGGCUAGCGUUGUUCGGAAUUACUGGGCGUAAAGCGCACGUAGGCGGCUUUGUAAGUUAGAGGUGAAAGCCCGGGGCUCAACUCCGGAAUUGCCUUUAAGACUGCAUCGCUAGAAUUGUGGAGAGGCAAGUGGAAUUCCGAGUGUAGAGGUGAAAUUCGUAGAUAUUCGGAAGAACACCAGUGGCGAAGGCGGCGAUCUGGCCCAACACUGACACUCAGACCCGAAAGUGCGGGGAUCAAACAGG